rnacentral:snRNA from 1 species
GUGCUUGCUUUGGCAGCACAUAUACUAAAACUGGAACAAUACAGAAAGAUUAGCAUGGCCCCUGUGCAAGGAUGACAUGCAAAUUUGUGAAGCGUUUCAUAGUUUU